UUGAUUGAGACUUCGGUUGAUUGAAAGGAAUGUUUAGUGGCGGACGGGUGAGUAACGCGUGAGUAACCUGCCCUUCAGAUGGGGACAACACCUCGAAAGGGGUGCUAAUACCGAAUGACGUUUCCUAGUCGCAUGACCUGGAAACCUAAAGGCCGGGCAACCGGUCACUGAAGGAUGGGCCUGCGUCUGAUUAGCUAGUUGGUGGGGUAACGGCCCACCAAGGCGACGAUCAGUAGCCGGUCUGAGAGGAUGAACGGCCACAUUGGGACUGAGACACGGCCCAAACUCCUACGGGAGGCAGCAGUGGGGAAUCUUCCGCAAUGGGCGCAAGCCUGACGGAGCAACGCCGCGUGAGUGAAGAAGGUUUUCGGAUCGUAAAGCUCUGUUGAGAGGGACGAGAGAUAUAAUCAGGAAAUGGGUUAUAGAGGACGGUACCUUUCGAGGAAGCCACGGCUAACUACGUG
rnacentral:rRNA from 1 species